ensembl:lncRNA
CAGAGAUCCAACAUGUUGGUUGUGGUUAACACAGUGUCAACUAAACAGAGAUACAACAUGUUGGUUGUGGUUAACACAGUGACAACUAAUUAUUGUUCUCAUUUAUUCAUUAUCUCUUUGAGAAAUAAAACAUUUACUAACAGACAUAGAAACAUUCAGGUGAUUUAAUGCAUCACAUGAACAUGUAGCUGUGACAUUUCAUCUCCAUGGUAACUGUCAAUAAUAAUAAUAAGUCACUGUUUGUUAAGGUCGUUAUAGACAGUACAGCAACAAUAAUAAUAAUAAUAAUAAUAAGUCACUGUUUGUUAAGGUAGUUCUAGACAGUACAGCAACAAUAAUAAUAAUAAUAAUAAUAAUAAUAAGUCACUGUUUGUUAAGGUAGUUAUAGACAGUACAGCAACAAUAAUAAUAAUAAUAAUAAUAAUAAUAAUAAGUCACUGUUUGUUAAGGUAGUUAUAGACAGUACAGCAACACAAUUAUUUUUAUUCAUUAAAAGUAGGCUAUUUAUUGUCUUUCAAUCUGUUCUUUUCUAAAUGUUUCUGAGAAUAUAGACAGAAGUGCUAAAACGGACAUGAUUGAUCUGAGGGGGAAAUUAUUGAUCCAUUCAGAAAGGUUUUUUUGUACAAGUAAUUGAUGUUAUAUUAUGUAAAGUAGGCUAGGUUAUAAUGUAUAGUAGUGGGUUGUUAGUGAUAUGUAGAUGUUAUAUUAUGUAAAGUAGACUAGGUUAUAAUGUAUAGUAGUGGGUUGUUAGUGAUAUGUAGAUGUUAUAUUAUGUAAAGUAGACUAGGUUAUAAUGUAUAGUAGUGGGUUGUUAGUGAUAUGUAGAUGUUAUAUUAUGUAAAGUAGACUAGGUUAUAAUGUAUAGUAGUGGGUUGUUAGUGAUAUGUAGAUGUUAUAUUAUGUAAAGUAGACUAGGUUAUAAUGUAUAGUAGUGGGUUGUUAGUGAUAUGUAGAUGUUAUAUUAUGAAAAGUAGACUAGGUUAUAAUGUAUAGUAGUGGGUUGUUAGUGAUAUGUAGAUGUUAUAUUAUGUAAAGUAGAGUCGGUUAUAAUGUAUAACAGCAGUUUGUUAGUGAUAUGCAGAUGAAAGUCUAUACCUCAGCUAUAGCCUACAUGUCAUCGAUGACCAGUCUAAACCUGUUCAGAUCAGUUCACAUAAUGUUAUAGUCCUAACAGUAGCAGGACAGAGAAUGUACUGUAUAUAACCUACAUAUCAUAGAUGAUGCUGCUGCCAACACACUGACUCAACUCCAGCCACUUUAAUAAUGGGAAUUGAUGGGAAAUGAUGUAAAUACAUCACUAGCCACUUUAAACAAUGCUACCUAAUAUAAUGUUUACAUACCUUACAUUAUUCAUCUCUUAUGUAUACGUAUAUACUGUACUCUAUAUCAUGUAUUGCAUCUUUAUGUAAUACAUGUAUCACUAGCCACUUUAACUAUACCACUUUGCUUACAUACUCAUCUCAUAUGUAUAUACUGUACUCAAUACCAUCUACUGUAUCUUGCCUCUGCCGCUCUGUACCAUCACUCAUUCAUAUAUCUUUAUGUACAUAUUCU